GAUGAACGCUGGCGGCGUGCUUAACACAUGCAAGUCGAACGUGAUAGAUAGCAAUAUCUUGAAAGUGGCAAACGGGUGAGUAACACGUAGAUGACCUGCCUCGUAGUGGGGGAUAACCACGGGAAACUGUGGCUAAUACCGCAUGGUCUUGUUGUUGUGGGAACAACGACGAGUAAAGCUUUAGUGCUAUGAGAGGGGUCUGCGUCCGAUUAGCUAGUUGGUGAGGUAACGGCUCACCAAGGCGAUGAUCGGUAGCUGGUCUGAGAGGACGAUCAGCCACACGGGAACUGAGAGACGGUCCCGACUCCUACGGGGGGCAGCAGUGAGGAAUAUUGGGCAAUGGACGCAAGUCUGACCCAGCAACGCCGCGUGGGGGAUGAAGGCUUUCGGGUUGUAAACUCCUUUUUGGGGGGAAAAGACAAGGAUGGUACCCCCAGAAUAAGUCACGGCUAACUACGUGCCAGCAGCCGCGGUAAUAC
rnacentral:rRNA from 1 species